rnacentral:lncRNA from 1 species
AUGUGUUUUUAGUGCUAUAGAUAUGGUACAUGUUUAACCUGAAGCUGAAGAAUUUAUAACCUUAUAUGUGGUGUAACAUAUGGGACAUAUAAAAACAAUCAAAAUUUAAUAAAUGUAUUAUUGCCUGACAGCUGAAUAGGAAGAUAAUCGCUACAUUUGAUGACCGUGGAAAAUAGUUUUGAAAUAGAAUAUAUAUAUUGACGAAAAAAACAAUUGGC